CAGGCGAUCUCUGCAGAGCCCACAGCGCUGGACCCCUCGCAGCUCACCGACGUCACACUCAAGAGCUACUGCAAGAGCAAACAGUCCAGUGAGCUGAUCCAGAGAGCGCUGAUGGACAACGACUUCAUGAAGCACCUGGAGCACGCGCAGAUCGUCACCAUCAUGGACUGCAUGCACCCCACCAGUCUGACCCAAGGCUGCUGCGUGAUCCAGGAGGGAGACGACGGCUCCACCGUCUAC